GGUCCAGUAGCUCAGUGGUUAGAGCACUGGUAUAUAUAGCCAGGAAGUUCUUGGUUUGAUCCCAGAUUGGGUCA